CUUAUCUUAUUUUUCAUCGAGCAGCAGCUUCCUGCAUCUUCCUCUCGUUUCAACAGCGCCUCAUCUCAAUUCUCUUCAUCAACACCAACUGAAAAGAGGAGAUUUAUCAACAACAUCAUCUUUUCUCUAUUAUCUUCAUCAAGGCCAAAUGAAAACGAAGGUUCAUCAACAACAUCGGUUCUUGGAGUCUGAAUCGAUGAAGAAUAGACGAUGAGGAUUAUCAACAAUAAUCAAGAGUAAUUCUAUGUUGUCUAAAGCAAUUGGUAAUUGUACAAAAACUUAGAUUACGUCUCUUCAUUAGUAAUUUGAUGGUAAUGGAAACCCUAGAUUUGUUUCUGCUUUGAUCGAUGCUGGUGGUGAUGUGAAUUUUAGGGAUCUAUCAAAUGGGAAAUUUUUGUUGUUUGCAGGCUGCACAAUCGUUGAAUUCCUAAAAUUAACAUUUUUGGGAGUAUGGGAUGAACCAGUUGACCGUGGGGGUUAUUAUAAGUGUGAUGUUUCAAAUUUGAACUUCCUAUUUUAGUUAAUAUCCGAUUUUACUUGUAUUCGUUAAAUUUAUUAGACAUGAAGGUAUGUUAAUUGUGUAUUUGUUGUUCAUAUUAUAAAUGGAACAUUUGCGUAAAUUCAAGGGCACUUGAAAGGUUUCCAGGGUAAGAAACACUUGGAGGAUUUUUCUGUUAGUUUUCUUCGCAACCUAGUUUUGCUGAAAUCAAACAAAAGGUCCUUGACAUUUUUUCCGUACCUGCGUACAUACACUUCAAAAGACUGUUUAACCCACUUUUCCUUCUUUGUUCUUGACAUGGAAUCUCUUGCAACUCUUGAGAAUGAAGUUCUUCAAGUGAUAGCCACAUUUUUUUAAGUAAGGUGUCAUGUUUCCAUCACUGAGUUCUCCAAGGAUACGCAGGAGUUCAGAAAUAAAAUUUUUGACCCUUGGGUUUGUGAAGUCGCAAGAUUCAGCAAAUAUUAAUGAUAUAUAACCAUCUUCUUAGAGAUUCUUCUUGAUGCUAAGCAUGAUGCGAAAUCUCAGGGUGAAGAUGGAAGUCUUAAGUUUCACUUCCAAUAAUUCGUGUCAUUCAAUGUGUCCAGUAGUUCAUUGUAGAGAAAACAAGCCUUAAUCCUAGAGCACAAAGGAAAAAUGGCGGAAGAUCGUCAAGAUCAAGAUAGGAAGGCUACUUCAGCUCAAACAAGACAGUGAAACAGAUCAACGUUCUGAGGAUGACCUCAGCGAAGUUUUUGGUACAUAUGGUCUGGUCACUAAGGCAUUUUCAACUGUAGGUACGCCAGAUUACAUAGCUCCAGAAGUGUUGCUGAAUAAAGGUUAUGGCAUGGAUUAUGACUGGCUGGUAGAACUUGGUACUUGUAGCUUCACCAUCAGAAUCACUUAAAGUUGCCUGAAGAGGCAAGGUUGACACCCGCAACAAGGAAUCUCAUUUGUAGAUUUUUAUAUGAUAUUGACCAGAGACUAGAUAUUGGAGGGGCAUAUCAAAUAAAAGUGAGAUAUUAUUCCUUUUUCGAGUCUUUUCAUAUCAUGUAAUUUUGUUUCUUGUAUUUACUGUAAUGGAAACUUCUCAAGCUCAUCCUUUGUUCAAAGAAGUUGUUAAAUUUAAUUUAUAAAGUUUGUAUGAGAUUGAGAUGCUGUGCAUUUGAUUUUGCGUGGAAAUGUAUCUUAAAGUGUUAUCUAUAAUACAAUUUCACGGAGUUCAGCUUCC